rnacentral:rRNA from 1 species
CCUACGGGAGGCAGCAGUGAGGAAUAUUGGUCAAUGGUCGGGAGACUGAACCAGCCAAGCCGCGUGAGGGAUGAAGGUACAGAGUAUCGUAAACCUCUUUUGUCAGGGAACAAAGGCGGGGACGUGUCCCCGGAUGAGUGUACCUGAAGAAAAAGCAUCGGCUAACUCCGUGCCAGCAGCCGCGGUAAUACGGAGGAUGCGAGCGUUAUCCGGUUUUAUUGGGUUUAAAGGGUGCGCAGGCGGGCUGUUAAGUCAGCGGUAAAAGCCCGGGGCUCAACCCGGACCCGCCGUUGAAACUGGCAGUCUCGAGUUGGAGAGAAGUAUGCGGAAUGCGCGGUGUAGCGGUGAAAUGCAUAGAUAUCGCGCAGAACUCCGAUUGCGAAGGCAGCAUGCCGGCUCCACACUGACGCUGAGGCACGAAAGCGUGGGUAUCGAACAGGAUUAGAUACCCUUGUAGUC